AAGUCGUAACAAGGUUUCCGUAGGUGAACCUGCGGAAGGAUCAUUAUCGAGUCCAAUCCAGCUUAUUUCUGGCUGUGCAUUCACUUGCACGCCGGGGUCAGUUGGCUCUUGAACUUCACACACCUGUGCACCUUCUUGUGCCUUCUCCGUCGUCGUGCAUUCGUGUGCGGCUCCACUGCUUGCAGUGGGAUUCGGGCGUUGCGGUAAAUUCACGUUUACAGCUCGCCUCGGGGAGGGGGUCACUUGUUUUUUUACACCUUUUUCGUAUGUCCUAGAAUGUCUCGGACUGCCCUGUGAUGGGGUGGUCUUUAAUCAAAUACAACUUUCAGCAACGGAUCUCUUGGCUCUC
rnacentral:misc_RNA from 1 species